rnacentral:tRNA from 1 species
GCCUCUGUAGCCCAGUUGGUUAGAGCGCUGCACCGGAAUCGCAGGGCCGUAGGUUCAAUUCCUACCAGAGGAC